GGUGCCCUCGGCUCCUGGCACCGGCGGCAGCGCUGUCCCCGCCAGAGACCGCGGGGAGGAACAUCCGUGGCAUGGAAAUGAAGCGGCUGAAGCCAGCCCUGUGUCAAUGGUGCCGGGAGAGGCGCAGCCCACGUGGGGCUCGAGGGACCCACCGGGACCACUGGAAAUGCCUCCUCUGGGGGGGGGGGGGUGUUAAAGCAUCCCCAGGUACAUCCAUCCUCCUGAGGACACAGCCACAGCGCUGGACCGCGGCCCCCAACCCUCGCACCGACCGCAGCUCCCCGACUCGAGCCCCAGAGGGACAUCCCUGGAGCACAUCCCUGCCCGCAGGUACCUGCAGCACAAACUGGUCGGGCUCACUCAGCUUCCCAGGGUUCUCCUUGUAGCUCUGGAAGCGCUGCACUUCCUCCCCAUCGGGCGCGUACAGCAGGAGCUGCUUGAUGUGGGAAGGCUCCAGCCGGUCCGUCUCCAUCGUCAUGAGGAUCUGGCGCAGCUCCAUGUGCGAGAGCUUGAGUUCUCAGGCAUGAGAGUUGGCUCUGGAAGAGAAACUGAGAGAUUUAAUCACGGGUAAGGACAGGCUCAGCCGGCUCCAGCGGGAAGAAAACUGUCCUGAAAACAGGGAAACCAUGAGUGACACAAGGGAUGCUUUGCACACAGCAAUGGCUCCGGGAGUCCUUGAAUUCAGCGAUUCAAAGAUCUCCUCAAUGGAGGACUCAGUUGGAGCUGAAAAAGGCAAAACGAGAGGUGAGACACACAGAAAACCCCAGACUGCCCAGAAACAGCCCCAAAAUGAUGCAUCCCAUUUCAUCCCACUUCCACUGCCGCUCCCAGCUGUAUCUGCCCAUCCUGGCUUAGCUCUGCCCAUGCUGCC